rnacentral:rRNA from 1 species
GAUGAACGCUGGCGGCGUGCCUAAUACAUGCAAGUCGAGCGAACGGACGAGGAGCUUGCUUCUCUGACGUUAGCGGCGGACGGGUGAGUAACACGUGGAUAACCUACCUAUAAGACUGGGAUAACUUCGGGAAACCGGAGCUAAUACCGGAUAAUAUUUUGAACCGCAUGGUUCAAUAGUGAAAGACGGUUUUGCUGUCACUUAUAGAUGGAUCCGCGCUGCAUUAGCUAGUUGGUAAGGUAACGGCUUACCAAGGCAACGAUGCAUAGCCGACCUGAGAGGGGAAUCGGCCACACGGAAACUGAGACAGGUUCCAAACCCCUACGGGAGGCAGCGGUGGGAAAUCUUCCGCAAUGGGCAAAGGCCGGACGAGGCAACGCCGCGUGGUUAAUGAAGGUCUUCGAAUCGUAAAACUCUGUAAUUAGGAAAAAACAUAUGGGAAGGUAACUGUCCACAUCUGGACGGUACCAAAGCAGAAGGCCACGGCAAACUACGG